UACGUAGGGUGCAAGCGUUAAUCGGAAUUACUGGGCGUAAAGCGUGCGCAGGCGGUUAUGUAAGACAGUUGUGAAAUCCCCGGGCUCAACCUGGGAACUGCAUCUGUGACUGCAUAGCUAGAGUACGGUAGAGGGGGAUGGAAUUCCGCGUGUAGCAGUGAAAUGCGUAGAUAUGCGGAGGAACACCGAUGGCGAAGGCAAUCCCCUGGACCUGUACUGACGCUCAUGCACGAAAGCGUGGGGGAGCAAACAGGAUUAGAACCUACCCUG
rnacentral:rRNA from 1 species